CUCUUCUUGUUAAAUAUUUGAAGUAUAACCUGCCCACUGAAUAAUAAUUUUUGAAGGGCCGCGGUAUUUUUGACCGUGCAAAGGUAGCAUAAUCAUUAGUCUUUUAAUUGAGGACUAGUAUGAAUGGUUGGACGAGGAAUAUACUGUUUCUUAUUAAUUUAUUGAAUUUAAAUUUUAAGUUAGAGUGCUUAAAUAUUAGUAUGGGACGAGAAGACCCUAUAGAGUUUUAUAUAUAAAUUUUUAUUGUUGUUUGAGUAUUUACAUUUAUAUAAAUAUUUUUAUAUUUUGUUGGGGUGAUGGAGAAAUUUAAUUAACUUUAUUUUUUAAUUAAAUAUUUAUUUAUAAUAAUUUGAUCCUAUUUUGUUGAUUAUAAGAUUAAAUUACCUUAGGGAUAACAGCGUAA
rnacentral:rRNA from 1 species